rnacentral:rRNA from 1 species
ACGUAGGGUGCAAGCGUUGUCCGGAAUUAUUGGGCGUAAAGAGCUCGUAGGCGGUUCGUCGCGUCGGCUGUGAAAUCCUGAGGCUCAACCUCAGGCUUGCAGUCGAUACGGGCGGGCUGGAGUUCGGCAGGGGAGACUGGAAUUCCUGGUGUAGCGGUGAAAUGCGCAGAUAUCAGGAGGAACACCGGUGGCGAAGGCGGGUCUCUGGGCCGAUACUGACGCUGAGGAGCGAAAGCGUGGGGAGCGAACAG